CACCUGACAUUAUCCGUUGUGACGACGACGCAGCCAGACGUGCCGUGCCGAGUUGGAGCCGUGAAGUAGCAGUUAGACGCUGAAGACGAACGAAAAGCGCUUUGGGGGUAAAAGCAAACGCGAUGCAGAUAAAAGUAAAGUGAAAAAAAGCUGACGAAUGGCGAACGAUAAAGUGUAGACAAUAAUAGGCGUAGAACGAAGAGGAAAGCGAGAAGUUGAAGUCAAAAGGAGAGAAGAAGAACAAAGUGAUUGUGAACAGAGAGAGAGAAUUAAAGAACAAAAUUGAAUUGUGGCUGGUUGGCAGCUGAAGCGAGUCUAUCGAGCGUAAGUAUAGCCUAAUUCGAGGCACAGCAAAAUUGACAAAAUAAAAACAUUGUAGUGAAGAAAGAGAAACAAUAAAAAAGUAUGAACACAUAAGUAAAAAAGACUUCAUCAAAACGCCUGUAUGUAUAAUUAUAAAGCAGUACAGUUAUUUAAAGUGAUAAAAAAAAAAAACACACAGAACAAGCCAGUGUAUUCGACGAUUAAAAUUCUAAAACUGUAACCACAACGAAUUGACGAAGUAAAAACAAGAUAAAACAAGUGCAAAAAUCAAAUUAAACAAAAACAACAAAAAAUAUUAUAAAACAGCUGUGAAAACGUUAAGUUGCUAUCCUAACCGAAAAGCAAGUCAGCCCGUUUAACAUAGCGCAGUAAACAUACUCACACAUUCAUAUGUACUUAAGUAUGCAUUCGAACGUACAUACGUAUAUAGUCCCGUUGCGAAAAUCCUCCUAAGUAAUCUCCGAUUUGUUAUGGCUACCCGUUUCAAGUACUCGAAUCCGCAUACAUAAACACCAGGUUUAUUCGUGACAACGUUACAUUUUUUAUAAGCCACGUCCACGCGUCUGCAUUUGGUGCCUUUGCGUUAUUGUUAUUAGUGCGUGCGUGUU